rnacentral:rRNA from 1 species
GAUGAACGCUGGCGGCGUGCCUAAUACAUGCAAGUCGAGCGAACAGACGAGGAGCUUGCUCCUCUGACGUUAGCGGCGGACGGGUGAGUAACACGUGGAUAACCUACCUAUAAGACUGGGAUAACUUCGGGAAACCGGAGCUAAUACCGGAUAAUAUAUUGAACCGCAUGGUUCAAUAGUGAAAGACGGUUUUGCUGUCACUUAUAGAUGGAUCCGCGCCGCAUUAGCUAGUUGGUAAGGUAACGGCUUACCAAGGCAACGAUGCGUAGCCGACCUGAGAGGGUGAUCGGCCACACUGGAACUGAGACACGGUCCAGACUCCUACGGGAGGCAGCAGUAGGGAAUCUUCCGCAACGGGCGAAAGCCUGACGGAGCAACGCCGCGUGGGUGAUGAAGGUCUUCGGAUCGUAAAACUCUGUUAUUAGGGAAGAACAAAUGUGUAAGUAACUAUGCACGUCUUGACGGUACCUAAUCAGAAAGCCACGGCUAACUACGUG